rnacentral:rRNA from 1 species
UGGGGAAUUUUGGACAAUGGGGGAAACCCUGAUCCAGCCAUCCCGCGUGUUCGAUUAAGGCCUUCGGGUUGUAAAGCACUUUUUGCAGGAAAGAAACGUCAUGGGUUAAUACCCCGUGAAACUGACGGUACCUGCAGAAUAAGCACCGGCUAACUACGUGCCAGCAGCCGCGGUAAUACGUAGGGUGCAAGCGUUAAUCGGAAUUACUGGGCGGAAAGCGUGCGCAGGCGGUUCGGAAAGAAAGAUGUGAAAUCCCCGAGCUAAACUUUGGAACUGCAUUUUUAACUACCGGGCUAGAGUGUGUCAGAGGGAGGUGGAAUUCCGCUUGUAGCAGUGAAAUGCGUAGAUAUGCGGAGGAACACCGAUGGCGAAGGCAGCCUACUGGGAUAACACUGACGCUCAUGCACGAAAGCGUGGGGAGCAAACAGG